GUUAUAUGGUCAAGUGAAUAAGCGCAUAUGGUGGAUGCCUAGGCGGUAAGAGGCGAUGAAGGACGUAGUAGCUUGCGAUAAGCCUCGGGGAGUCGGCAAACUGACUUUGAUCCGAGGAUUUCCGAAUGGGGAAACCCACUCAGCAUAAGCUGGGUAUCGUUAAUUGAAUACAUAGGUUAACGAGGCAAACCCGGGGAACUGAAACAUCUAAGUACCCGGAGGAAAAGAAAUCAACCGAGAUUCCCUGAGUAGCGGCGAGCGAAAGGGGACCAGCCCUUAAGCUGUUGAUGAGUUAGUGGAACAGUCUGGAAAGUCUGGCGAUACUGGGUGACAGCCCCGUACACGAAAAUGACUCAGCAGUGAAAUCGAGUAAGGCGGAGCACGUGGAACUCUGUCUGAACAUGGGGGGACCAUCCUCCAAGGCUAAAUACUCCUUACCGACCGAUAGUGAACCAGUACCGUGAGGGAAAGGCGAAAAGAACCCCUUUUAGGGGAGUGAAAUAGAACCUGAAACCGUAUGCGUACAAGCAGUGGGAGCCCCUUCGGGGGUGACUGCGUACCUUUUGUAUAAUGGGUCAGCGACUUACUUCUCAGUAGCAAGCUUAACCGAAUAGGGGAGGCGUAGGGAAACCGAGUCUUAACAGGGCGAUUGAGUUGCUGGGAGUAGACCCGAAACCGGGCGAUCUAUCCAUGGCCAGGGUGAAGGUGGAGUAACAUCUACUGGAGGCCCGAACCCACUUAUGUUGAAAAAUGAGGGGAUGAGCUGUGGCUAGGAGUGAAAGGCUAAUCAAGCCCGGAGAUAGCUGGUUCUCCUCGAAAGCUAUUUAGGUAGCGCCUCAUGUAUCACCACCGGGGGUAGAGCACUGUUACGGCUAGGGGGUCAUCCCGACUUACCAACCCGUUGCAAACUCCGAAUACCGGUGAGUGCAAUCAUGGGAGACAGACGGCGGGUGCUAACGUCCGUCGUCAAAAGGGAAACAACCCAGACCGCCAGCUAAGGUCCCAAAAUCACAUCUCAGUGGGAAACGAUGUGGGAAGGCAUAGACAGCUAGGAGGUUGGCUUAGAAGCAGCCAUCCUUUAAAGAAAGCGUAAUAGCUCACUAGUCGAGUCGGCCUGCGCGGAAGAUUUAACGGGGCUUAAGAUGUGUACCGAAGCUGCGGAUGCAGACUUGUUCUGCAUGGUAGAGGAGCGUUCUGUAAGCGGUUGAAGGUGUGCUGUAAGGCAUGCUGGACGUAUCAGAAGUGCGAAUGCUGACAUGAGUAACGAUAAAGGGGGUGAGAGGCCCCCUCGCCGAAAGCCCAAGGUUUCCUGCGCAACGCUAAUCGGCGCAGGGUUAGUCGGCCCCUAAGACGAGGCAGAGAUGCGUAGUCGAUGGGAAGCAGGUCAAUAUUCCUGCACCUCUUGUUACUGCGAUGGAGGGACGGAGAAGGCUAGGUCAUCCGGGCGUUGGUUGUCCCGGUUUAAGCGAGUAGGGAGUGUUCUUAGGUAAAUCCGGGGACACAAUUCUGAGACGUGAUGACGAAGCACCCUUUGGGUGUGAAGUGAUUGAUGCCAUGCUUCCAGGAAAAGCUUCUAAGCUUCAGGUAACAAGAGACCGUACCCCAAACCGACACAGGUGGGCAGGGUGAGAAUCCCAAGGCGCUUGAGAGAACUCUGGUGAAGGAACUAGGCAAAAUAGUACCGUAACUUCGGGAGAAGGUACGCCUCCUAGGUGAAACAUUUACAUGUCGAGCUAUAGGAGGUCGCAGUGACCAGGUGGCUGCAACUGUUUACUAAAAACAUAGCACUCUGCAAACACGAAAGUGGACGUAUAGGGUGUGACGCCUGCCCGGUGCCGGAAGGUUAAUUGAUGGGGUUAUCUUCGGAGAAGCUCUUGAUCGAAGCCCCGGUAAACGGCGGCCGUAACUAUAACGGUCCUAAGGUAGCGAAAUUCCUUGUCGGGUAAGUUCCGACCUGCACGAAUGGCGUAAUGAUGGCCACGCUGUCUCCACCAGAGACUCAGUGAAAUUGAAAUUGCGGUUAAGAUGCCGCAUACCCGCGGCUAGACGGAAAGACCCCGUGAACCUUUACUACAGCUUCACACUGGACUUUGAACCUACUUGUGUAGGAUAGGUGGGAGGCUUUGAAGCUGGGACGUCAGUCCUGGUGGAGCCACCCUUGAAAUACCACCCUGGUAUGUUUGAAGUUCUAACCUAGGCCCGUUAUCCGGGUCAGGGACAGUGUGUGGUGGGUAGUUUGACUGGGGCGGUCUCCUCCCAAAACGUAACGGAGGAGCACGAAGGUACCCUCAGCGCGGUCGGAAAUCGCGCAAUGAGUGCAAAGGCAUAAGGGUGCUUGACUGCGAGACAGACAAGUCGAGCAGGUACGAAAGUAGGUCUUAGUGAUCCGGUGGCUCUGUAUGGAAGGGCCAUCGCUCAACGGAUAAAAGGUACUCCGGGGAUAACAGGCUGAUGGUGCCCAAGAGUUCAUAUCGACGGCACCGUUUGGCACCUCGAUGUCGGCUCAUCACAUCCUGGGGCUGAAGUCGGUCCCAAGGGUAUGGCUGUUCGCCAUUUAAAGUGGUACGCGAGCUGGGUUUAGAACGUCGUGAGACAGUUCGGUCCCUAUCUGCCGUGGGCGUUUGAGAUUUGAGGGAAGCUGCUCCUAGUACGAGAGGACCGGAGUGGACGAACCUCUGGUGUUCCGGUUGUCACGCCAGUGGCACUGCCGGGUAGCUACGUUCGGACAGGAUAACCGCUGAAAGCAUCUAAGCGGGAAGCCCCUCCCAAGAUAAGAUCUCACUGGACCUUUAAGGUCCCUGAAGGGCCGUUGAAGACUACAACGUUGAUAGGCUGGGUGUGGAAGUUCAGUAAUGGAUGAAGCUAACCAGUACUAAUUGCCCGUGAGGCUUGACCAUAUAACACCCAAACACUU
rnacentral:rRNA from 1 species